UACGAAGGGGGCUAGCGUUGCUCGGAAUCACUGGGCGUAAAGCGCACGUAGGCGGACUCUUAAGUCGGUGGUGAAAUCCUGGAGCUCAACUCCAGAACUGCCUUCGAUACUGAGAGUCUCGAGUCCGAGAGAGGUGAGUGGAACUGCGAGUGUAGAGGUGAAAUUCGUAGAUAUUAGGAAGAACACCAGUGGCGAAGGCGGCACUCCGUGGACCGGCAUUGACGCUGAGGCGCGAAAGCCAGGGGAGCAAACGGGG
rnacentral:rRNA from 1 species